UAGGUCUACUAACCAUGUCUGUACUGUAGGUCUACUAACCAUGUCUGUACUGUAGGUCUGCUAACCAUUACUGUACUGUAGGUCUAGUAACCAUGUCUGUACUGUAGGUCUAGUAACCAUGUCUGUACUGUAGGUCUAGUAACCAUGUCUGUACUGUAGGUCUAGUAACCAUGUCUGUACUGUAGGUCUAGUAACCAUGUCUGUACUGUAGGUCUACUGGGUGUAGGUCUACUAACCAUGUCUGUACUGUAGGUCUACUAACCAUGUCUGUACUGUAGGUCUACUAACCAUGACUGACUGUAGGUCUACUAACCAUGUCUGUACUGUAGGUCUCCUAACCAUGACUGUACUGUAGGUCUAUUAACCAUGUCUGUACUGUAGGUCUACUAACCAUUUCUGUACUGUAGGU
rnacentral:lncRNA from 1 species